rnacentral:rRNA from 1 species
UACGUAGGUGGCAAGCGUUGUCCGGAAUUAUUGGGCGUAAAGCGCGCGCAGGCGGCCUUUUAAGUCUGAUGUGAAAGCCCACGGCUCAACCGUGGAAGGUCAUUGGAAACUGAAAGGCUUGAGUACAGAAGAGGAAAGCGGAAUUCCACGUGUAGCGGUGAAAUGCGUAGAGAUGUGGAGGAACACCGGUGGCGAAAGCGGCUCACUGGCUCGGUUCUGACGCUGAGACGCGAAAGCGUGGGGAGCAAACAGG